rnacentral:rRNA from 1 species
AUUGAACGCUGGCGGCAGCCCUAACACACGCAAGUCGAACGAGUGGCGGACGGGUGAGUAACGUCUGGGAAACUGCCUGAUGGAGGGGGAUAACUACUGGAAACGGUAGCUAAUACCGCAUACCAUCAGACUUGCCCAGAUGGGAUUAGCUUGUUGGUGGGGUAACGGCUUACCAAGGCGACGAUCCCUAGCUGGUCUGAGAGGAUGACCAGCCACUCUGGAACUGAGCCACGGUCCAGACUCCUACGGGAGGCAGCAGUGGGGAAUAUUGCACAGUGGGGGCAAGCCUGGUGCAGCCAUGCCGCGUGGAUGAGGAGGACCUUCGGGUUGUAAAGUACUUUCAGCGGGGAGUCGUUACCCGCAUAGGAAGCACCGGCUAACUCCGUGCCAGCAGCCGCGGUAAUAC